GGGUAAGGCGUUGGAAGAUUACUACAGGAAACAAAAAAAACUCAUCGACUUUCAAAUGGCAGCUGCACCUGGAGAAACCUGGCAAGGGUUGUUAGCUGCAUUGCAUCUCAAACAUUUGGGUGCUAUUAGUUCUGAACAAUUUAGAGGGAAUGAUGCCGUUGUAACAGAAUGGAGGAAAUGCUUCUAGAAUAUGCAGAGUCUUCUAGAAGAUAGUAUAAUUCUACAUCCCCCCUUCAAGUUGGAGAUUGGUGGAGAUCAAACAAUCCCAACUUGAGCAAUAAGUGUUUGAACUGAGGAGCUGCCAGAGAUUUUGUGAAGAUGUCUGCUGGUUGUUGUUGAGAAGGAAUAUGUGUGGGAUAAACAAAGCCUUGCUUAUACUGAUUUCUGACUAAGUGGCAAUCGAUGUCCAGAUGUUUGGUUCUCUCGUGAAAAACUGGGUUGGCUGUUAUAUGGAGAGCUGCUCUGUUGUCACACCAGAGUGGGAUGGGAGUGUGGACAUUGAUGUUAAAAUCUUUAAGAACAUAUGAGAUCCAUUGUAGCUCACAAACAGUUGCUGUAAGGCUUCUGUAUUCUGCUUCUGCAGAAGAUCUUGAUACUGUGGUUUUCUUCUUGGUUUUCCAGCUAAUGAGUGAAGGACCAAGGAAAAUGCAGAAGCCAGUUAAGGACCUCCUAGAAUCCAUGCAGGAUGUCCAAUCUGCAUCACUGAAUGCUUGUAACUGCAGGUUAUUGUUGUUGGAAUAGAGGAGACCAAGGGAAGGACUACCUUUAAGGUAUUUGAGAAGAUGAAGAGCUGCAGCCUAAUGUGUUUCACAUGGUGAGUUAACAAAUUGACUAAGUUGCUGGACAGAGUAGGUUAUAUCUGGCCUACUGAUGUUUAAAUAGAGUAAUUUUCUAAUACGCCUCUUGUACUUUUCUGGUUCUGACAAAAGAGGACCAGAAGCAGAAUGUAACUUUAGACCUUUGGGCAAGGGAGUAGUAGCAGGCUUUGCACCCAGUAGACCAACAUCUGAAAGAAUGUCUAGCAAAUAUUUUCUUUGAUUUAUCACAGUUCCUUGAGAGCCUCUUGCUA